rnacentral:rRNA from 1 species
CGCGUAGGCGGUUUGUUAAGUCAGAUGUGAAAGCCCAGGGCUUAACCUUGGAAUUGCAUCUGAUACUGGCAGGCUAGAGUGCAGGAGAGGGAAGUGGAAUUUCAGGUGUAGCGGUGAAAUGCGUAGAGAUCUGAAGGAACACCAGUGGCGAAGGCGACUUCCUGGACUGACACUGACGCUGAGGUGCGAAAGCGGUGGGGAGCAAACA